rnacentral:rRNA from 1 species
AUUGAACGCUGGCGGCAGGCCUAACACAUGCAAGUCGAGCGGAUGAAGGGAGCUUGCUCCUGGAUUCAGCGGCGGACGGGUGAGUAAUGCCUAGGAAUCUGCCUUGUAGUUGGGGAUAACGUCCGUAAACGGGCGCUAAUACCGCAUACGUCCUGAGGGAGAAAGUGGGGGAUCUUCGGACCUCACGCUAUCAGAUGAGCCUAGGUCGGAUUAGCUAGUUGGUGGGGUAAAGGCCUACCAAGGCGACGAUCCGUAACUGGUCUGAGAGGGUGAUCAGUCACAAGGGAACUGAGACACGGUCCAGACUCCAAAGGGAGGCAGCAGGAGGGAAAAUUGAGAAAAGGGCGAAAGCCUGACGGAGCAAGGCCGCGUGAGUGAAGAAGGUCUUCGGAUAGAAAAAAUCUUUAAGUAGGGAAGAAGAGAAGUAUAAGAAACUGUGCAUAUUUUGACGUUACAAAAAAAGAAAGACACGGCUAACUACGUG